AUUGAACGCUGGCGGCAUGCCUUACACAUGCAAGUCGAACGGCAGCACGGGUGCUUGCACCUGGUGGCGAGUGGCGAACGGGUGAGUAAUACAUCGGAACAUGUCCUGUAGUGGGGGAUAGCCCGGCGAAAGCCGGAUUAAUACCGCAUACGAUCUACGGAUGAAAGCGGGGGACCUUCGGGCCUCGCGCUAUAGGGUUGGCCGAUGGCUGAUUAGCUAGUUGGUGGGGUAAAGGCCUACCAAGGCGACGAUCAGUAGCUGGUCUGAGAGGACGACCAGCCACACUGGGACUGAGACACGGCCCAGACUCCUACGGGAGGAAGCAGUGGGGAAUUUUGGACAAUGGGCGAAAGCCUGAUCCAGCAAUGCCGCGUGUGUGAAGAAGGCCUUAGGGUUGUAAAGCAAUUUUGUCCGGAAAGAAAUCCUUGGCCCUAAUACGGUCGGGGGAUGACGGUACCGGAAGAAUAAGCACCGGCUAACUACGUG
rnacentral:rRNA from 1 species